UAAAUUCAAUAGGGUAUUACAUGCAUUUUUGAAAUAUAUCUUAAAUAAAUUCUUUAGUCUUAAUAUAUCUCUAAAAAAUUAAAAAUAUUUUUUUUUCUCACGUUAUGUACGAAUAUAAAUUAAUUGUUUUAUCAUAAUUUCAAAUUUCGCGCGUAUUUCGCGAAAACGUGGCACACAACGGACGCCAUGAUUGUUUUUUGGUCAUGACAUCAUUACGUUAGUAAACAAACUACAGCUGUCAGUAAUACAUAUUUUGAUAUGUAUUGAAAAUUUUAAUAAUGAGUAAUUAUGCUCCGUAUCGUUGGUGUGUUGUUUCUGAAUGUGAGAACACUAGUGUAAAAACACCAGACAAAUUAUGGAUUCAAGUACCAGUGGAUAUAAAUAUGAGAAACACUUGGUUAAAAGUUGUUUACUACCGUAAUGACGUCAUUAGCAUGGCGGCGACAUUUCGUAGUGUUCAAAGACAGAUAAAAAAACCUAAAAACUUUAAACUGCAAUAAAAAAUAUAUUUAUGUACCUUACGAAGUGAAACUAACAUUUCCCGAUUGCUUUUUCUCUAAACAAUCAUUGUAAUACACUUUUAAUUUUUUUCUCAUCUAGACUAAAAUACCCUAUUGUCUUUAGUCACGCCAUCACGCUUGAAAGACUGGACCGAUUAGCUGAAAAUUGGAGGGGACGUGGCUUAGACCCGGGAAAAGGACAUGGGAUAGUUUUCGUCACCAUCCGUCUACGGGAAGCAGUCAUCUCGAGACGCGGGUGAAACAUUAACAGAACAUAUCGGCAUCAUCAGUAGAUAGAUUUUAAACUGAGAUUUCAACUCUGCCAACGAGCUUAAAUCAACAUAAGAAGGUACCUAAUUAUGCAGCAGUUGAAGGGAUAACAUGAUGACUGAGCUUCUUCAUCUUCAUUAGAACAUGGUGUCCAUGGCAGGCAGAGCUACUUCAUCAUCAGUACGAGGGAAAGUGAAGAUAACCAAUGUGAUCAUGCAUUAGAUUUUGCAGGGAUGCUCUAUUCCAGAAACUAUAGUUGUUGCUCGAAUAGUAGUAACUUCAAUGAUAUCCUUUUAAAAUAAUAUAGAGAGUAGAUUAUUUUUUUUUCAUUUGAUUGU